UACGUAGGGGGCUAGCGUUGUCCGGAAUCAUUGGGCGUAAAGCGCGUGUAGGCGGCGUGACAAGUCGGGUGUGAAAGCCCUCAGCUCAACUGAGGAAGUGCGCCCGAAACUGUCGUGCUUGAGUGCCGGAGAGGGUGGCGGAAUUCCCCAAGUAGAGGUGAAAUUCGUAGAUAUGGGGAGGAACACCGGUGGCGAAGGCGGCCACCUGGACGGUAACUGACGCUGAGACGCGAAAGCGUGGGGAGCAAACAGG
rnacentral:rRNA from 1 species